UUUAUUGUUCAUGUGUACAAUUGGAAAAAAUAUUCUUCAAUCCAAUCAUGAUCAGCACCAAGCUAUGAUUGCUAUGGAGUUUCAUUUAAAUCAGAGAAAAGGGGGAGAUGUAGAGAGACCCCCUGAAACUAUUGCUAUGGAAUGAAAGAUGAAAUGCUCCUGAUUAUUAUAAAUACAAAAUUGCAUGCAGGAUGGUGUAAAGACAACGCCAGGUUGGGCUGCCAGAAUGAGCCGACAGCACAUGAUGUGCUUCCCCCUGCAGAGAGUCUAAGAAUGGACGUGCAGUCAGGGAGGUUUCACAUCACCAAGAUUCCUAUCCCAGAAAAGCAGAUGUUCAUAGCACUGGCAACCCUUGUGGAGAGCCUAUAAAUGGAUGCAUGAGGGGUGCCUGUUUAUAUGCCCUUAUCUUGCCAUGGCUCUUUUAAGCCUCUUUAGGGUUAAGGCAUACUCCCUUCUGAGAAUUUCUGGUCUAACUGGUUGUCUAGCUUCAUGUCCUGUUUCUUUGAUUGCUUGUAACCAGAUUUUGCUGCCACUGUUACUGCUGAUUAGUAUCUUGCUAAUCAUAGGUUAUGGAAAGACUGUAUUUCUGUUUUAAGGCUCUGUUAGAAAUUACUGAUGCACACACUAUAUUGUAAAUUCUUAUCUCUGUAUACUGUACUUCUGCAUACAGAUAUUAUGUUUAAGAAUUACUCUAUCCCCAUGUGACCAUUUCACCUCAUAAUCAAAUGACCCUAAAUCCCUCACUAACCUACCCCCGCCCUCACUAAACUUAAUAAUAAAUGCUGGCAUAUCCAGUGCAUUGGUGGCAUCGCAGGACCAGAAGGCGGUGACCCCCCUGGACCCAGCUUUCACUAUCUUGUAUGUGUCUAUUAUUUCUAGACCUGCUGAUCUGCCUGGGAACAAAGAAAGAGUCCCAUUGCAUUGCGGGUUGCUGGCCAGAUCCCGCAAUACAGUACUGCUUUAGAAACAAAGUAACAGAACAAAAAUAAAAGGGAAUAGAGUUCUCCACUUCUGUAUAGUGGGUGGUGGGCAGGGGAACACUGAGAUCUGUAGAGAAGAGAGGCUCCUUCAUUGCAUGUAUAGCGGGGUGUCAGUGCCCCAGAGAAAGCAAUGGUUUCCAGAUGGAAGCUGAUGGACAGAUGCUGGAAGCAUUGGCAGAGCAUCUUCAUGGAGGAAGCAAAGAACUUUUGUGGACACAAAAAAGAUAAGGGGUUUCACCUUGUUGCCCAAGCUGGUCUUGAAGUUCUGGGCUCAAGCGAUCUGCCUGCAUUAGCCUCCUAAAGUUCUGGGAUUACCAACAUGAGCUACCAUGCCUGGGUCAAAGCCAUUCUCUGAGCUGAAGAAAAACUACAAAAGAUAGAAACUCAGAUGUGCAGGAAAGAAUAUAGACACCAAAAAAGGAGUGCAAUUUUGACCAAUUACUUUUUACUGGAAGAACUUCAAGAAUAGCUAUGAAGCAUAUGAAGAGGUCUUAUUCCGAGUGAUCCUGAUGCUAGUCAAGGAAGGGAAUGACUGGUUAGAAUCAAUGCCCACACCUGAGAAUUGUGCUUGAGAUAGAUUCUCCUGAAGACACAGGGCUUCACAGGAAGGAGAGAUAAUUAUUGGAUGGAAAACAGAACUGAGAAGAGAAAUCACUUGUGUCCCAGCACCAUUUGUUGAAAAGGAUAUUCUUUCCCUGUUGAAAUAAUGUCUUGGCACCCAAACUGAAAAUGAAUUCACCUCAGGUCAUAUUCAAUCUUUUAAAAUUUCUCUUAGAAGAAGAUAGGGGGUGUGAGUGGAAGAGUAAAGAAAAAUUACAUCAUACAAAAAAUUGGAAUAAGGAAGAGGUGAUAAAAGAAAAUGACCUUGGAAAUCCAUCUACAAAGACCCAAGGAAAAGUAUGGCUAAUUGCUUAUGAAAACACUCAAAUAAACAGGAGCACCCUGAUGUGAGCUCAUCUCUAGUUCAAUAGAUACCAGGAACACAGCUCAGGCCAAUUGAAAAUACAAUCUCUGGCAGUCUGGCCCAAGAAUGGGAUUUUAAGCACCUCUCCAGGUGACUAUAAUGUGCAUUCUGAGUUUGGAACCACUGCUUUAGAUGUUAUAAAUCCAUUUGCAGCUAGGAUCCAAAGUCAAGAAACUUGGGCUUAAUGUGGGGAAAAACAGAAGACUUUGAAGGAAACAUUGACAAUUUGUCAUCUGCGUAACUUCUGUGACACUGUGCAAUCUCCACGUGGCUUAUCUCCAUAAUAUCAUUUCAUGCUUUUCUCCUGCCCCUUUACUGUUGUAUAGUCACUUUAAUUCUCAAUUCAUCAAACAUGGCAAGUGCUAUCAUGCCUCAAGGAUUUCACACAUAUUAGUCCCAGUUCCUACAAUGCACUCUUCCCUACUCCUUGCCUGACUAGUUUGACAAUUUAUUAUUGUGCCAAUUUAGAUAAGUGGUAAUCACAUUUCCCAGAAUUCUCUUCCCUGCCUCAGUUCCAAAUUAGUAGUGAAUAUAAGAGAUAUUUGAAAUGAGAUCUGAAAGGCAGAGAGGAGUAACAGAUAUAUUAUUUUCACAUGUGGAAAGUUGGUUCAAGGGAACUAUGAUGCAGGUACCCUUGUGAUUCACACAGUUUUGUUCUCAUUGGCUAGCUCAUCUUGUUAGCAAGGAACAACAGUUGAGCCUAUAGCUCCUUCAAGAACUACCACAUCCUCCUUUGAUUUCUUCAACUCCUGAACUAUGUACAUGUGGAUCUCCAUGACAAAGGUCCUAAUUUAUCCUGAAGUUCAUUUGAAUCAUUGAGGUUGAUAGCCUGGAGGGGGUGAGAUACUGGUGCAAGUUCUAGUCCGUUCUUGCCUGUUUCAGGCUCUCCUUGUUCUCCACACUUCACACCCAUGUACCCUUCCCAAAUUCCUGUUCUGCUGACUUCAACCUCCAGCACCAGAUGCCAACAUGGAAGCCUUAUAUAGGCUAUUUAAUCAUCCCCCACCAUCAUGUGAGCUCAAAUUCCUAUAAGAAAUCCCUAUAUAUCACUCCUAGUGAUUCUAUUUCUUCAAACAAAUUCUGACUGAUAGAUCUAGCUUCUCUUUCUCCUUUAGGGUUUAAAUUAAAUAUCCCUCCUCAGAGGCCUUCCCAGAGAACAUUGUCUAGAAUAUACCCCUCUCUUCACUUCCCUAGUUACAUUCUAUCUCAGCCUCUUGUUUAUUUUUUUCCAAGAAGUUAUCAUAUUUAUUUAUUUAUUAGUGUUUGCUUAUUUGUUGUCUAUCUCCCUCACUACAAUAUAGAUUCCAUAGGGGAAGGAGUCAUCACCAUCCUCUUUAUCACUUCAUCUCCAAUGUCUGGCACAAUUCCUGAUACAUAGUGAAUGUUCCAGAAACAUUUUUGUAUACAUGAAAUUAAUGAAAAAUAAAUAGACAUACAUUUUGGAGAGGUAGCUUUGAGAGCCUUGUGAACAAAUAAUUCAAGAAGAGACUUGUGACUGGCUAACCAGAUAGGGAACUAGUGAAAGUGAUAAAGGCCUGAAAUAGAUCAGUGUAAAAAAAUGAGGGGGAAAGAUGUUUUUAAAUGGACCAUAAAAGGCUAGAUAGAAGAAUUUGGCUGCUCUAUGAAGAAGUUUAUUGGAAAGAAGGAAGAAUCAAGAUGACAGAUUUCUCACAGGUUACCAGGGGAAUGGUGAUGCUGCAAUAGAUUAAAGACAAAGAACAAGUUUUAAGGAGUAAGACAGUGAGUUUGAAGUUUUCAAUUCAAAUGAAAAUUUCUGGAUAAAAGUCAGGAACUGUGACACACUUAGAUGUAUCAAAUAGUG
rnacentral:lncRNA from 1 species